CACAGGCUGACACAGGCAGAACACAGCAGACACGAUGGAGUGGCAUAAAGAAAUACGGACUUACAGCUUAUUUUUACCCCAAACAGGGUCUUACUAUGUAACUCUGGCUGUCCCGGCUGAAACGGUGGAUGUAGAUCAGGCUAGCCUCUAACUUACAGAGUUAUGUCUGCCUUCGCCUUCUGAGUGCUGGGAUUAAAGGUGUGCAUUGCCACAACGGGAUGGACUUGUAGCUUUUGAAAGUAAUAGUCACAGAAGGAGAGGGCUGUGAGAUUGUCCUCAGUUGGAGAAGUUUGAGAAUAGAUGGCAUUUAAGUUCCCAAAUGGCACCCUGGACAGGAAGAAGGGCACAAGGAUGGCAGUGAGCAAGAGUCAAAUGACUGGCAAUUCAUUUUUGUUUUGAAGUAGUGUUGUUUUCAACCUCUGACAGUUGGGCCAGUGGGACAACUCAGUGAUUUAAGGCACGUGCCACCAAGACUGACAAUCUGAGUUGGGUUCCCAGAAUCCUCAUGGUGGAAAGAGACUCCCACAAGUUAGCCUCUGAUCUCCACACAUGUGCCGUGGCACGUGCACGUGUAAACACACAUAAUGUACGACAAUAAAUAAAUAAAUAAGUUCAAUAAAAAGGUAAAGACAGUUCUGACAAUCGUGGGGACAAUGCAAGGAUGCUGUUCUUCUUGGAAGACACAGGAGUGUUUAGAUGAAGAGAUUACCUAAGUGACUCGCUUUCAAGACUGAGGAAGAAGUUGUACCUUUCUGUGGAGGAAGACAGGAAGGAUGCCUACGUGUGGCCAUUCCUCUCACGCUUGAAUUUGAGAGCCUCCUUUAUGCCAGACACCUGCAGGUUUCCGUCCCAACGCUCUGAAGGAAAAUUGGGCUCAUCUGGAGAGCUGAGGCUUGACUGUCUGAGAUGCUGAGUGCCUGGUACAAGAGCAGGGACAGAGGAAGGGGCUGCACUGAAGGGUUCUACCUCACGCCUGUCCUUCUGCUGAGGUGGUCAAUCAGCUGCUGUGACAAAGUGGGGGGAGGGGUGCCGCUUGAGGCGGUGAGCCUGCUUAGCUUGCUGGGUCUGCCUCAUGACUGCAUCCCUGCCUCCUGGGCGCACAGGUCUUCAGCAGCUGCGACGUCGGGAUUCCAUAAAGCAGGGAUGGGCUAAAACAGCCACACACGAGGCACUCCAGUCUCUUCCAGUAUGCUACAACACUACUGGAUGCUGGUGGCACAGAGCAACAGCCAUUGACUAGGCUCAUUGUGUCUUGGCUCUGUCUCAUGAUGCCGGAGGCUCUAGACGGAAAAAUGAAUGUGUACACAUACAUAUAAGUGAACAUUCAUA